AUCGAACGCUGGCGGGAUGCUUUACACAUGCAAGUCGAACGAGUGGCGGACGGGUGAGUAAUAUAUCAGAACGUGCCCAAUAGAGGGGGAUAACUACUCGAAAGAGUGGCUAAUACCGCAUACUAUGGGAUCGGCCGAUAUCGGAUUAGCUAGUUGGUGGGGUAAAGGUACACCAAGGCAACGAUGCGUAGCUGGUUUGAGAGGCCGACCAGCCACACUGGGACUGAGACACGGCCCAGACUCCUACGGGAGGCAGCAGUGGGGAAUCUUGGACAAUGGGGGAAACCCUGAUCCAGCCAUCCCGCGUGUAUGAGAAGGCCUUCGGGUUGUAAAGUACUUUUGGCAGAGAAGCGGUAUCUGAAGAAUAAGCACCGGCUAACUACGUGCCAGCCGCCGCGGUAAUAC
rnacentral:rRNA from 1 species